CAAGAUGGCAUCAUGAGUCCGCAUGUUCACAUGAUUAAAGGUAUUCCGGUAGACGAUGGGGAUGCGUUCCAUUAGAUAGUAGGCGGGGUAACGGCCCACCUAGUCUUCGAUGGAUAGGGGUUCUGAGAGGAAGGUCCCCCACAUUGGAACUGAGACACGGUCCAAACUCCUACGGGAGGCAGCAGUGAGGAAUAUUGGUCAAUGGGCGAGAGCCUGAACCAGCCAAGUAGCGUGAAGGAUGACUGCCCUAUGGGUUGUAAACUUCUUUUAUAAAGGAAUAAAGUCGGGUAUGCAUACCCGUUUGCAUGUACUUUAUGAAUAAGGAUCGGCUAACUCCGUGCCAGCAGCCGCGGUAAUACGGAGGAUCCGAGCGUUAUCCGGAUUUAUUGGGUUUAAAGGGAGCGUAGAUGGAUGUUUAAGUCAGUUGUGAAAGUUUGCGGCUCAACCGUAAAAUUGCAGUUGAUACUGGAUAUCUUGAGUGCAGUUGAGGCAGGCGGAAUUCGUGGUGUAGCGGUGAAAUGCUUAGAUAUCACGAAGAACUCCGAUUGCGAAGGCAGCCUGCUAAGCUGCAACUGACAUUGAGGCUCGAAAGUGUGGGUAUCAAACAGGAUUAGAUACCCUGGUAGUCCACACGGU
rnacentral:rRNA from 1 species